UCUUUAAGAAAUCAUUUAAAGUAAAGCCUGCUCCAUGAUAUUAAAUAGCCGCAGACAACUGUGCUAAGGUAGCAUAAUCAUUAGCCUUAUAAUUGAAGGAUCGUAUGAAAGGCUAAACAUAUACUCACUGUCUCACUAAAUACUUUGAAAUUAAAAAAGGUAAAAACUCCUUAAUAAAUGACCAGACGACAAGACCCUGAUAAACUUAUCAUUUUGCUGGGGAGGCAAAAUAAAAAAACCUUAUAUUAAUUAAAACAAACCUACUAAAGUAUAAAGUUACUACAGGGAUAACAGCGCAACGCUUUCUAAGAGUCCUUAUCUAAGAAAGUCUCUACGACCUCGAUGUUGAAUCAGCUUUACUAAAAUGGUGCAGAAGCCUUUCAAGUUGGUCUGUUCGA
rnacentral:rRNA from 1 species